CCCUGGGUGGCUCAGUUGGUUGAGCAUCUGAAUUUGGCUCAGGUCAUGAUCUUCCGUCUGUAGGUUCAAACCCCACAUCAGGCU
rnacentral:tRNA from 1 species